UCCUACCCAAGAUACUUUAACCUUAGAUAU
rnacentral:piRNA from 1 species